GAUGUGACAAUGUCAUUGGGCCGUCAAGCGGCGGCGGUGUUGUUCUGACAACCAAAGUUGUUGUUUUAAUAACCCAUAAAUUACUUUUCAAUUACAUUACAUUCUCUCUUUUCCAAACCCUGUACAAUGUGGUGUCGACAACGGUUGUGUCGGCGAAGGGAAACAUCGGCGGUGGAUGGUGUAUUGGAAGACUAUUGGUGGUGUCGACAACGGUUGUGUCGGCGAAGGGAAACAUCGGCGGUGGAUGGUGUAUUGGAAGACUAUUGGAGAUUAGGGCUCACCAUCGAAGUGCUAAUUGCACAUAUGCCUGAGACAAAGAGAGAAUGAGAAGGAGAUGCCCGCCUACAACUACUCCCGGCGGGGUGGGUUUUGUUGUGGAAGUCGCGACUGCCGGCGGUAGCGGAGUAGUUAUCUAGGGUUUCACCAAGGAGUUUAAGCGAUGCUUUGCGGGUCUGAUUACUGAUGUUAGGGUUCCACAACACGUAGGAAUGCAAAACAGGAUGUCGGCGAGGAGGUUAGCUGUUGCCGGGUGUUUGUGUUACUGGUAGCAGGUCUUUCAGGUAAGGAAUUCAACUCCUAUUUUAUGUUUUUCUUAGGUUUGCUAUAGAUAUCGUUUAUUUGGGUUACAUCUUUCAUGUUUUGAUUAAGGGGUUUUCAUGUUUUAAUGUCUGAUUGGCUUACUAAAUUGGGAGUCCAACUCAACUAUAGUGUGUAAUUACUGGACUGUAGUCACGUGCAGUGAAGAUGGGUCACGUGUCAUUGGUUUCCAGCUUCCCGGAGUUGGGUUUCACGGCUAGCUUCCAGCAAACAUCAUUAGCAAACUCUUAGUCUUAGCUUUGCAGAACUUGAGCUUCAUAUCUAAUGGUAUUUCUGGCACUUUUAACUAUAUUUGUUAUUAUGGUUGCUUAGAAGAUAGAUUCUUUAAUGUAGGGGAUAGUUGUGCGGUGGUAUAUUUAAUUUGAUAGAACACUGACCCUCUUGGUUUGUAGUUUGCAACCAAGAAUAAAAGAUUGUUAUUUUCUAGACUUAUGAUCCAGUUUCAUUAAUACUAAAAAACUUAAGUCAUAUCUUACUAUCAUGACUAAAAAUAUGAUAAAAAGUCUAUAUUUAUUCAAUGCAAAAGUCAAAUUUGUACCAAAAAAAGGAACAGACCUGUAAAGUAGCUCACAGCCAUUAUUGUAUUGAAGUAAAUCUUUUAAAGUUGCAAGAAUUGAAGAGAUGAUAGCAUCAAUUGUUUUUUUUUUUUUUUGGUCAUUUGCACUGCCUAUAAUUGAUUUUAGAUGCUUCUCAUGAACUUUCAUUUUUUACUUAAGAGUUCCUUUACAUGUGCUUUAUCUAAUGAACUAUAAAUUAUUUGUUUCUCAAAUGGUUUUUAUGGGUCAUUCUUACUGGUAUGACGAACAAUUGGGCUUUUAAAAUCUUAUGAUCUAAGCUGGAAAAAAAUUAUCCACAUUCUUUGGGAUGCCUACACCAUUAAUUUCUUCAAUUUCUUUUAGACCAAACUAUAGUAGCUUCUUUACAGCUAUAUUGAGAGUCUGGAGGGAGAGGGGGGAUGAGAAGAGAUGGGAGACAGAGACGGAGAAAUCCCCGGCUUCGAUACGGUGGACGCGCUGCACAUGGCUCCCCAGCGUCGACAUGACAGACGGGUCCGCCGUACAUGGUGGUGGGGUUAUGUCGGGUAACCGCAACGGCAGUCAAUAGUGACGACGGUUACAGUAUGACCGUUUUGAGCAACGAUGGUGAUCACAGUAGUGGCAAGGGGGGGUGACGAAGAUGGCUUCAAGAAGCUCCAGUGAAGGAUUCAAGCUUGCAUGUUCCGUUUUCGAGUAGAUCUGAGAACGAUUCGCUUGCAUAUGUGCUUUUCUGAUUAUUAAGGUAAAACACAUCUAUUUUCAGAUUAUACGACCCGAUCUGACUGUACUUUAAAAAAAGUCUCGGGGGCUCACCGACCAAAAAGAUUAUUGAUAAGUAUGUGAAGUCGAGUUGCUCAAAAUAAUCUACUUACAGAAAAGUCCGAAAUAAAAAAUAGGCUGGUGAGGAAGUCGGGGAUGAAAUAUGAAAGCAGGUAGUUGAAAUCCCCAAAGUGAGAUGAAAUCUCAGGCUGGGUGAAGGCGGUGACGGUGGCGGUGGCAGUAGUGGUGAGCGUGGUGGUGGUUGUCGGUUGCGGCAGCUGCUGCUGAUUAAAGUUGCUUAAAACCACCACCGCCUACGGUUGCGGGGCCGGGAACUAUGUUAACAGUAGUGCUCAACUGAGAUGCCUGCGUUUAGUUUGGACCCUUUAGAUUAUCUAUCUUGAGUAUCCAAGUUAAAAAAAAGAAGCGAGAAGAUGCAAUCUAUGGAGCUUUUCGGGUAGUCGCGGGCGACACCUUGCCUUCGAAGAACUAAAAGGUAUGGAAACACUAGCCUACUAUAUGCAGACUAUGUUCUAAUUAGUUAUUUCAAUAUGUAUUCGUAAAGUGAAUUUAUUUGGAAAAAAUAGUUUUACUUGUAGUUAUUUCAAUAUGUAUUCGUAAAGUGAAUUUAUUUGGAAAAAAUAGUUUUACUUGUAGUCGAUAUAAAUCAGGAUUUUUU